rnacentral:rRNA from 1 species
GAUGAACGCUGGCGGCGUGCUUAACACACGCAAGUCGAACGAUGAAGCCCAGCUUGCUGGGUGGAUUAGUGGCGAACGGGUGAGUAACACGCGAGUAACCUGCCCUUAACUCUGGGAUAAGCCUGGGAAACUGGGUCUAAUACCGGAUAGGAGCGCCUACCGCAUGGUGGGUGUUGGAAAGAUUUAUCGGUUUUGGAUGGACUCGCGGCCUAUCAGCUUGUUGGUGAGGUAAUGGCUCACCAAGGCGACGACGGGUAGCCGGCCUGAGAGGGUGACCGGCCACACUGGGACUGAGACACGGCCCAGACUCCUACGGGAGGCAGCAGUGGGGAAUAUUGCACAAUGGGCGAAAGCCUGAUGCAGCGACGCCGCGUGAGGGAUGACGGCCUUCGGGUUGUAAACCUCUUUCAGUAGGGAAGAAGCGAAAGUGACGGUACCUGCAGAAGAAGCACCGGCUAACUACGUG